GCUCAGCACCUCCAUUUGUAGGAAGAUGGGGAUAGAGGGAUUUGGAUGGAGCUGGUAGUACUGCUGGUGGUUUCCGGGGUGAACCCAUUCCCAGGGGAAGGGCAGCACCCACUCUGCCUGAUGCCAGGAGGCAAAGUCCCCAGGGAAGGCAGCCAAGCUUCUGCUGAGCACAUGCUGAAUUACUGAGAGGAGGAAUCUUAAGGGUGCAGGUGGAGUGCAAAGUAUUACAGGUGGUUGGCAUUCAGGGUAAAGGGCCUCCAGAAGAAAAGAAUGGGAUAAAUCUCUGUCUAGAACAGGCUGCCCCAGUGCCACCUGCUGCUCUCCAGCCUUUUAAGCCCUCAGCAUGGCCACCAAAGCACAGGGACAUGCCCAGCCCUGCACUGCGCUUAAGGGGCUCAAAUGCAGCAGAGGAUGCAACAUGUUCUGAGAAACUUGGGCUCUUGCGUCAACUACUUUUGGCUUCUUACGGGCAGAACAUCACAACGUCACUGGGAAUGAGAAUAUUUUGGAAGAUACCUCAAAGAAAUGUCAAGCUUCUGGUUGCAGACACCGGUGCCAGGUGAUCUUUUUGCUAUUAAAUGAUGUCCUAAGAUUAAAUUGUAGCAUCAGGCAGUGGUGAGAACCAUUGUAGACUGUCAUGGUAAUCACUGAGGAGCCCAUUUUAGGGAUUGGGAGAGCAGAGAGGCGCAUUGCAGCUGGCCAUGCUGCUGUGUGGCGUCAAUGAAGCCUUUGUUCAAAGGCUUGGUAAUUUAAUAUAAGAUGAACAAGAAAGAUGAAAUAAUCAAGGUGGAGAGGAAGCCAAGGGCUGGAGGAAAACAUGAUGCGUACCAGAGCUGCACGGAAUGAAGCUUAUAUUCCUAAUUAACAAGCUCACUUGUCUCAUUUCUGCUCAACCCCCCAUGUUAGCCUUUUAAAUAUAGAAAGCUCCUCCUUUGCUGUGUAUGCAGCCAUCCCGGCACCGCCAGCCAUGUCGGCUGCUUUGCCACAGGUUGUAUUUUCAGAACCGCUCGAUGGGUGGAUGAACAGCUUCCUCUUUAUUGCCAGCUCUUCAGCUUUGGGGGAAGAAAAGGAAUAAGAACUGUCAUGAAGAUGGCUACAAAAAAACCACCCCCAUGGCUUUUAGAAAGGAAACUGUAGGGGUUUUAUUUGCUGCUUAGUUUGAGAAAUGAGAAGUUUGUAGGCUUGUAGUUUUUUUUCCCCACAUUUCACCCCCACACAGCCCAGGGCUGGAGAAGUACUAUAUUGUUUUUAAAUGAAAACAGAGUGUUUUUCACAAUCACGUGGCUGUGAGAUGUGGGGCUUUGCUGCUGUAAUGCUGCCCAUCAGCAGCCACCUGCACAAGGACCAUCGGGUUUCAGUCCUGCUGGAAGCAAAGAGCAAAGUCUCUCCCCUUCUGUUUAGGGCACGGAGAAGUAAUAUUUGAUAUGAAAACCACGGAAGUGAUUUACAUGUCAUUACGAUUGUUGACAGAGGUUUGAUGUACAAAAGAGUAUAAAUCAAAGAGUUUGUUUGGAGAAAUUAUCACUAACAAGCGAGAACAGAGGGGUAUAACCUGGAUUUACG
ensembl:lncRNA